UACGGAAGGGGCAAGCGUUGUUCGGAAUCAUUGGGCGUAAAGGGCGCGUAGGUGGUUCUGUAUGUCUACCGUGAAAGCGUACGGCUCAACCGUAUUUUGUCGGUGGAAACUGCAGGACUUGAGGCUGGGAGGGGCUGGUGGAAUUCCCUGUGUAGCGGUGAAAUGCGUAGGGAUGGGGGAGAACACUCGUGGCGAAGGCGGCCAGCUAGACCAGUUCUGACACUGAGGCGCGACAGCGUGGGGAGCAAACAGG
rnacentral:rRNA from 1 species